rnacentral:rRNA from 1 species
UGAACGCUGGCGGCGUGCUUAACACAUGCAAGUCGAACGGGAAACCUUUUAUUGAAGCUUCGGCAGAUUUAGCUGGUUUCUAGUGGCGGACGGGUGAGUAACGCGUGGGUAACCUGCCCUAUACAGGGGGAUAACAACCAGAAAUGGUUGCUAAUACCGCAUAAGCGCACAGGGCCGCAUGGUCCGGUGUGAAAAACUCCGGUGGUAUAGGAUGGACCCGCGUUGGAUUAGCCAGUUGGCAGGGUAACGGCCUACCAAAGCGACGAUCCAUAGCCGGCCUGAGAGGGUGAACGGCCACAUUGGGACUGAGACACGGCCCAGACUCCUACGGGAAGCAGCAGUGGGGAAUAUUGCACAAUGGGGGAAACCCUGAUGCAGCGACGCCGCGUGAAGGAAGAAGUAUCUCGGUAUGUAAACUUCUAUCAGCAGGGAAGAUAGUGACGGUACCUGACUAAGAAGCCCCGGCUAACUACGUG